rnacentral:rRNA from 1 species
AGUGAACGCUGGCGGCAGGCCUAACACAUGCAAGUCGAGCGGCAGCGGGUCCCCGCGAGGGGAUGCCGGCGAGCGGCGGACGGGUGAGGAACACAUCGGAAUCUGCCUGGUUGUGGGGGAUAACGUAGGGAAACUUACGCUAAUACCGCAUGCGACCCUGAGUCGACGGACUUGGGGUGAAAGUGAGGGACCUUCGGGCCUCACGCGACCAGAUGAGCCGAUGUCGGAUAGCUAGUUGGCGGGGUAACGGCCCGCCAAGGCGACGAUCCGUAGCUGGUCUGAGAGGAUGAUCAGCCACACUGGGACUGAGACACGGCCCAGACUCCUAC